AGCGUUGUUCGGAUUUACUGGGCGUAAAGGGCGCGUAGGCGGUCGUGCGAAGUCACUUGUGAAAUCUCCGGGCUUAACUCGGAACGGUCAAGUGAUACUGUCGGACUAGAGUACAGAAGGGGCAACUGGAAUUCUCGGUGUAGCGGUGAAAUGCGUAGAUAUCGAGAGGAACACCUGCGGCGAAGGCGGGUUGCUGGGCUGAUACUGACGCUGAGGUGCGAAAGCGUGGGGAGCAAACAGG
rnacentral:rRNA from 1 species